GGAGGGUGCGAGCGUUGUCCGGAAUCACUGGGCGUAAAGGGCGCGUAGGCGGCACAGUAAGUAGUGGGUGAAAUCUCACGGGCUCAACCGUGAAACGGCCUCCUAAACUGCUGAGCUCGAGCACGGUAGAAGGCAGAUGGAAUUCCCGGUGUAGCGGUGGGAUGCGUAGAUAUCGGGAAGAACACCAGUGGCGAAGGCGGUCUGCUGGGCCGUUGCUGACGCUGAGGCGCGACAGCGUGGGGAGCAAACAGGAUUAGAUACCCUGGUAGUCCACGCCGUAAACGAUGGGUACUAGGCGUCGGGGGGAGCGACCCCUUCGGUGCCGUCGCUAACGCAGUAAGUACCCCGCCUGGGGAGUACGGCCGCAAAGGCUG
rnacentral:rRNA from 1 species